rnacentral:rRNA from 1 species
GACGCCGCGUGGAGGACGAAGGCCUUCGGGUUGUAAACUCCUUUUCUGGGGGACGAAUAAGGUCAGUAGGUAAUGGCUGACCGAUGACGGUACCCCAGGAACAAGCGCCGGCUAACUUCGUGCCAGCCACGUCGGUGACUGAGCGGGCUGGCAAGGCGCAUA